UGCAGUCGAACGAUGAUGCCCAGCUUGCUGGGUGGAUUAGUGGCGAACGGGUGAGUAACACGUGAGUAACCUGCCCCUGACUCUGGGAUAAGCGUUGGAAACGACGUCUAAUACUGGAUAUGACUGCCGGCCGCAUGGUCUGGUGGUGGAAAGAUUUUUUGGUUGGGGAUGGACUCGCGGCCUAUCAGCUUGUUGGUGAGGUAAUGGCUCACCAAGGCGACGACGGGUAGCCGGCCUGAGAGGGUGACCGGCCACACUGGGACUGAGACACGGCCCAGACUCCUACGGGAGGCAGCAGUGGGGAAUAUUGCACAAUGGGCGAAAGCCUGAUGCAGCAACGCCGCGUGAGGGAUGACGGCCUUCGGGUUGUAAACCUCUUUUAGUAGGGAAGAAGCGAAAGUGACGGUACCUGCAGAAAAAGCACCGGCUAACUACGUGCCAGCAGCCGCGGUAAUACGUAGGGUGCAAGCGUUGUCCGGAAUUAUUGGGCGUAAAGAGCUCGUAGGCGGUUUGUCGCGUCUGCUGUGAAAUCCCGAGGCUCAACCUCGGGCUUGCAGUGGGUACGGGCAGACUAGAGUGCGGUAGGGG
rnacentral:rRNA from 1 species